rnacentral:rRNA from 1 species
UACGAAGGGGGCGAGCGUUGUUCGGAAUUACUGGGCGUAAAGGGCGCGCAGGCGGCUCUGAAAGUCAGAUGUGAAAGCCCCGGGCUUAACCUGGGAAUUGCAUUUGAUACUCUGGAGCUUGAGUGUGGGAGAGGAGAGUGGAAUUCCCAGUGUAGAGGUGAAAUUCGUAGAUAUUGGGAAGAACACCAGUGGCGAAGGCGGCUCUCUGGACCACAACUGACGCUGAGGCGCGAAAGCGUGGGGAGCAAACAGG